CAGAAUGACUCUCGGCAACGGAUAUCUCGGCUCUUGCAUCGAUGAAGAACGUAGCGAAAUGCGAUACUUGGUGUGAAUUGCAGAAUCCCGUGAACCAUCGAGUCUUUGAACGCAAGUUGCGCCCGAAGCCAUUAGGCCGAGGGCACGCCUGCCUGGGUGUCACAA
rnacentral:rRNA from 1 species